UACAGAGGGUGCGAGCGUUAAUCGGAAUUACUGGGCGUAAAGGGUGCGUAGGUGGUUUUGUAAGUUAGAUGUGAAAUUCCUGGGCUUAACCUGGGGACUGCGUCUGAUACUGCGAAGCUAGAGUACUGUAGAGGGAAGUGGAAUUUCCGGUGUAGCAGUGAAAUGCGUAGAUAUCGGAAGGAACAUCAGUGGCGAAGGCGACUUCCUGGACAGAUACUGACACUGAGGCACGAAAGCGUGGGGAGCAAACAGGAUUAGAUACCCUGGUAGUCCAUGCUGUAAACGAUGAAGACUGGCUGUUGGGUGCCCUUGGGCACUUAGUAGCGAAGCUAACGCGUUAAGUCUUCCGCCUGGGGAGUACGGCCGCAAGGUUAAA
rnacentral:rRNA from 1 species